AGUGAACGCUGGCGGUAGGCCUAACACAUGCAAGUCGAACGGCAGCACAGUAAGAGCUUGCUCUUACGGGUGGCGAGUGGCGGACGGGUGAGGAAUACAUCGGAAUCUACUUUUUCGUGGGGGAUAACGUAGGGAAACUUACGCUAAUACCGCAUACGACCUACAGGUGAAAGCAGGGGAUCUUCGGACCUUGCGCGAUUGAAUGAGCCGAUGUCGGAUUAGCUAGUUGGCGGGGUAAAGGCCCACCAAGGCGACGAUCCGUAGCUGGUCUGAGAGGAUGAUCAGCCACACUGGAACUGAGACACGGUCCAGACUCCUACAGGAGGCAGCAGUGGGGAAUAUUGGACAAUGGGCGCAAGCCUGAUCCAGCCAUACCGCGUGGGUGAAGAAGGCCUUCGGGUUGUAAAGCCCUUUUGUUGGGAAAGAAAAGCAGCAGGUUAAUACCCCGCUGUUCUGACGGUACCCAAAGAAUAAGCACCGGCUAACUUCGUG
rnacentral:rRNA from 1 species